rnacentral:lncRNA from 13 species
UACAAUAUCUGCCAAGCCUAGUCACCUUCCUCUUUCCCCCCAGUUGCUCUUACCCAGUUUCCUGUCUGUCUGCCUUGGGUUGGUUAAGAUGUGAACUUCUGAAUCAUCUUGUGUAAUUUAAAAACCCUGUUGGUAUUUUAAUUGGGAUUGUAUUAAAUUAUAUACUAAUAUAGGAAAAACUGAUGUUUCUGUGAUGUUGAGUCCUCUAAUUCCAAGGACAUGGUAUGAUUUUAACUAGUCAUUUUUUGUGUAUUUUUUGUGUCAAUAUUUUUGAACCCUAAUUUCUAUGUACCAAUUUUGUAUCUUCCAAUUGUAAUUUCCAGUGAGUUCUUUUGAUAUUUGCACAUAUCCAGUCGCUUCAUAUGCAAAUAGGGCAGCUUUAACUUCUCAUUUACAGUUUCUGUGACUACUUUCUCUUGCCUAUUUGUGUUAGCCAGUACCCCCAGUACAAUGUCAAUAAUAGUGGACACAGUGAUUAUUUUUGUCUUAUUUCUACUCGAGUGGAAAUAAUUGUAGUGAUUUUCAUGAAGCAUGCUGCUGGUUCUGGGGCUAAAAUGACUAAAAUUUUGUUAUAACAUCUAGUCUAUUUCUAUUUUAUUGAGUUUUUUUAAAGAAGUAUCUUAUUAAAAAUUUUUAAAUGCUAUUUGAGCACUUGAGUGUAAUUAUUUUUCUUGUAUCUGUAAUCUGAUAUUUUAAUGUCAGUCAUUUAAAAAUUUUUCAGGUAAACUCCACCUGUUGUGAUGUGCUUUUUCUUUUACUAGGCUAAUAUUUUAAUCAGGAUUUUUGCAAUUCAUAAAUGAGAAGUGUUUGUAGUUUUCUCUACAGUUCAUGUGAGGUUUUGGUGUCAAUGAUAUACUCUCUUCAUAAAUAAUCUGGAUGUUUUCUCUCCACACAUGUACUUCCUCCACUCCACUCCUUGAGCUGUAAGAUAACUGGCCUUAGAAUGGUCUGCUCCUUAAACGAAAUUGUUAGAAUUCUUUCAAAAAGCAAUUUGAGGAUGGGUGUGAUGGCUCAUGCCUGUAAUCCCAGAGUGCUGGGAUUAUAGAUGUUGAGCCACUGUGCCUGGCCUGUAUUUUGUUUUUGAUCAGAGUUACUUCCAUGAAAGAGUUUUAAAAUUUUCAGUCAUAGUGCAAACUUUUAUUUUGUAUGAGUUUCUAAUCUUAUUGAAUUUGUUAUCAGAGAAUGUUGUCUAUGAUUGUUUCUACUUUUUAC